rnacentral:rRNA from 1 species
UACGAAGGGGGCUAGCGUUGCUCGGAAUCACUGGGCGUAAAGCGCACGUAGGCGGAUUGUUAAGUCAGGGGUGAAAUCCUGGAGCUCAACUCCAGAACUGCCUUUGAUACUGGCGAUCUCGAGUCCGGGAGAGGUGAGUGGAACUGCGAGUGUAGAGGUGAAAUUCGUAGAUAUUCGCAAGAACACCAGUGGCGAAGGCGGCAUCACUGGCCCGGUACUGACGCUGAGGUGCGAAAGCGUGGGAGCAA